GACGAACGCUGGCGGCGUGCCUAAUACAUGCAAGUCGAGCGGACAGAUGGGAGCUUGCUCCCUGAUGUUAGCGGCGGACGGGUGAGUAACACGUGGGUAACCUGCCUGUAAGACUGGGAUAACUCCGGGAAACCGGGGCUAAUACCGGAUGGUUGUUUGAACCGCAUGGUUCAAACAUAAAAGGUGGCUUCGGCUACCACUUACAGAUGGACCCGCGGCGCAUUAGCUAGUUGGUGAGGUAAYGGCUCACCAAGGCAACGAUGCGUAGCCGACCUGAGAGGGUGAUCGGCCACACUGGGACUGAGACACGGCCCAGACUCCUACGGGAGGCAGCAGUAGGGAAUCUUCCGCAAUGGACGAAAGUCUGACGGAGCAACGCCGCGUGAGUGAUGAAGGUUUUCGGAUCGUAAAGCUCUGUUGUUAGGGAAGAACAAGUACCGUUCGAAUAGGGCGGUACCUUGACGGUACCUAACCAGA
rnacentral:rRNA from 1 species